GCCGCCGUAGCUCAGUGGAUAGAGCAUUUCCCUCCUAAGGAAAGGGUCACAGGUUCGAUUCCUGUUGGCGGCG
rnacentral:tRNA from 1 species